UAUUUAUUAGAUAAAAAACCAAUGCCCUUCGGGGCUCCUUGGUGAAUCAUAAUAACUUAACGAAUCGCAUGGCCUUGCGCCGGCGAUGGUUCAUUCAAAUUUCUGCCCUAUCAACUUUCGAUGGUAGGAUAGUGGCCUACCAUGGUAUCAACGGGUAACGGGGAAUUAGGGUUCGACUCCGGAGAGGGAGCCUGAGAAACGGCUACCACAUCCAAGGAAGGCAGCAGGCGCGCAAAUUACCCAAUCCCGACACGGGGAGGUAGUGACAAUAAAUACUGAUACAGGGCUCUUUUGGGUCUUGUAAUUGGAAUGAGUACAAUUUAAAUCCCUUAACGAGGAACAAUUGGAGGGCAAGUCUGGUGCCAGCAGCCGCGGUAAUUCCAGCUCCAAUAGCGUAUAUUAAAGUUGUUGCAGAUAAAAAGCUCGUAUUUGAACCUUGGUCCUGGCUGGACCGGCCGCCUCACCGCAUGUACUGACCCGGCCGGGGUCUUUCCUUCUGAGUAACUUCAUGCCCUUCACUGGCACAACUCAGCUUUUUUCUACUUAUGGAUCCAAACAGCCGAUUGUUCUGGGAAU
rnacentral:rRNA from 1 species